GAAGCCCUGGGGGAGGGCAGCAAGGCAGUCCUUCAGGCUCUCUCCCACCCCGGUCCUCAACUCCGCACACACACUCCUGAGUCCGCUCUCCCAGACCCCACAGGCCGCGCCUGCCCUCUGAGCACUCUGAGGACCCCGGCAGCCCGGGAGCUUCUUACUAGCACCAGUCACACUGGCUUGGGCUUUUCGGCUGCCUCAUCUGGUGGAAUCUUCCAGGCAACCCUGAGAGAGGCUGCUAUCAUGUAUGAUUCCCGUUUGACAGCCUGAGAGCCCUUAGCUGGAGCCGGAACGUGAUCCGAGAGAUGAAGUCUCACUAUGUUGCCCAGGCUGGUAUCAAACUCCUAAGCUCCAGUGAUCCUCCCACCUCGGCCUCCCAAAGCACUAGGAUUACAGUUGUCAGCCACCACACUCAACCUGGACUUUAAGUUAUUAAAGAAACAUCUGACUAUUCCAGCUAUGUAAUUUUGUUUUGUUUUUUUGAGACAGUCAUUUGCUCUGUUGCCCAGGCUGAAGUGCAAUGACGUGAUCACUGCUAACUGCAGUCUUGACCUUCCCCGGCUCAGGUGAUCCUCCCGUGUCAGCCGCCCAAAGUGCUGGGAUUAUAGGCAUGAGCCACCACACCCAGCCUCCUGCUACAUUUUUAGUUUAUACAUUCGAGUUGCUGCCCCUUCCCCAAUGUUUUUCAUUAUGAAAAUUAAGGCUAAGGGCAGUAGCUCACACCUGUAAUUACCAGCACUUUGGGAGGCCAAGGUGGGCGGGAUCACUUGAGGUCAGGAGUUUGAGAUCAGCCUGGCUGAUACGGUAAAACCCCAGCUCUACUGAAAUUACAAAAAUUAGCUGGGUGUGGUGGCAGGCACCUGUAAUCCCAGCUACUUGGAAGGCUGAGGCAGGACAAUUGCUUUGAACCCAGAAGGCAGAGGUUGCAGUGAGCUGAGAUUGGCCACUGCACUCCAGCCUGAGUGACAGAGCAAGACUCUGACUGAAAAAAAAAAAAAAAAGCCAGGUGUGGUCGUGGGCGCCUGUAAUCCCAGUUACUCAGGAGGCUGAGGUGUGAGAAUCACUUGAACCCAGGAGGCAGAGGUUGCAGCGAGCCAAAAUUGUGCCACUGUACUCCAGCCUGAGCAAUAGAGCAAGACUCAGUCUUGAAAAAAAAUAAAAAGAAAAUUAAAGCUUGCCAUAAAUGUGGGCCAAUGUGGUAAGUGCUAACUGAAUGUUUAUUGAAUGAAUAAAUAUUGGGCAGAGAGACAUGCAGCUGAGCUGACCUCCUGGGGGUGACUCUGGUACUGAAGCACUGGCUGAUUCGAUAGCCCCCCAGAGUCCAUUGGGACAGAGACACCACAUCCCUCCAUAACCCAGUACCUAAAGAAUCCCGUCUUCAGGCCAUAGCUUCGGAGGAUACAUUCAGUGAAGGCACAGGUGGAGCCCUUAAAAGAAAAGGGAUUGUCUGGGCAGGCUCUACUCUGCCAGCCCACUAAGUGGACCCACUACCCCUGGGUCCUGCCCCUCACCUUCCCCUUUGUCCCAGUGACGUGGAUGAUGUUCAGCCGGUCCAGGUCCUCCACCUGGGACAGACAAAUGAGGUCCCCCCCUCAGCUAUGGAAAUCACAGAUGGGGGUGGGAGGUGGUCACAGGCCCUCUCUACCUUACCUGCAACCCGCUUCGUGCCAGGUACAGUUCCAUGGCUUCCAGCUGUGUCUGGGGGUCACCCCGCUGGUGCUUCGCCUGCUCCAGAUAGCUGGCAUUGGUCUGCAGGGUAUUGAGCAUGCGCACGGCAUCCUGGCAACCACAGUAGCAGGUUAAGGUUCACUCAGGGUCCAAAGGCACAGAAACAGCCAGCAGGCCAGUGGCCAAGCCAGGGCAACAGGGGCAGUACCAGGCCUGCCCUGCCAGCCCUGUUACCCUAGCCCAUACGUUAAACAGAAAGAGAGCAUGGCAACUUUCCAGCUCUAGCAAAAAGGGAUGGAGCCUGGGGCAGUUCAGCCCCACCCAAGGAGUGCCACAUAAAGAAGGUGGCGUGCCUAGUGGGCUGGCCUUGAUUCCUGUCCAGACUCCCUUGGCUUCACUCCUAGGCCUUUGCCCUCAUUCCCUCCAAUGGGGUCCAUUGCUCUCUGCCAGGGUGGGGCCAGAACUACAGAAGGUUGGGGUAUUCAAAUUCUGGAAUUCCCUGAGGCUUCAACCCAACCCUCAAGACUCAGGUUCCACAUUCCAACCCACAGAAGAGCAACCAGAUGAGAAAGAGGGGCUCAGAGGGAGGAGGGAUGUGCCAGGGGUCACUCCGCCAGGAAGGCAGGUUCAGACUCCGGGAUCACUGAACUCCAGAACCACCGCUGAGCCUCUGGGCUUCUGGAUCCUAGCUCCAGUGCCCCUUCCCACUCCCCAACCCGGGGCAAGGACGAUACAGUCUCCGAAUUCCCAGAUCAGGCGGCCCGGGCCCAACUUCCUGGUCCCUGUCCCCACCCCCAGACUCCAGGAUGUUCCGCCCCCCGAGUCCCCCAGUCCGGGGCUCCGGGUAAGCUCUCUGUUAGCCGAGCCCGGAUGUUCUGCGGCUCAGCGCAGGCCCACGUGUUGUCGUGCUCUCGCCCGCUUGCCCGCCUGAUACCUGGUACUCCAUGCUGUGCUCCUGUGGCACCGGCCACGCACUCAAGCCCCGCCGCGCCGCAACCUGGGUCGUUACGCUGCGCGCAGAAGCCGCUGCCAGAAACAGAGCAGCGCGCAGGUGGCACCGCGCCGGCGACAUAGCCCCUGCGGCGCCCCCGGCAGCGCGCUAGGCCCAGGCUGGAGACGCCCAGCUCCGCCCCCGGCCAAUCAGCGCGGCCUCACCCCGCCCCACCGCCAAUCAGUACCGCCCCGCCCUGCCCACCACCAAUCAGCACCGCUCCAAACUCCCUCCCUCCUUGCCCCUUUGCACCAAUAAGCCACGCCUCGUGUGUGCACCAUCCUGGUGAGGGGCAGGCCCGGGACCCUGUUUGUGAGUGGCACGCUCCGGGACGUCCCCUCCCUUAGCGGGCACUCAAUCCUUUCGUCAACAUCCUCCCAAGGCCCCCCACAGCGUGUCCCAAACUAGCCAGUCCCAGUUAGCAGCCCUCAGUCUCUGCUCCGAGUAGGGAUAGGAUGACAGAGGUGCAGACACCUGGUGGAGGUCAUCGUAUCCCGGCCCCAAAAAGUCCCAGGAGACGGCAGGCAGCGGGGAUUUGGCCUCUGCCUUUACGAAUCUGAUAGCCAAAGCCCAGGCAUCGACAAUCCUGGGGCCCCUAACCAGCCCUGAGGAGACUGGGAAGGCUUCCUGGAAAAGCGACAUCCCGACUGAGGCCUGCGAAAUGGGGGAGUCGGGGAGGUGGCAGGGUGGGGAGAGAGGUUUCCAGGCCAAUGGAGGGAACCAUGUGUGAAAAGCAAGAGAUUGGAGAGAGAAUGAGGCGCCUGUGGCCUCCAGAGUGCAGGAGGCCAGAUCCACCCGGUCUUGUAGGCAGAUAAGGAAUUUGGAUGACAAUAAAUGGGUUUUUGUUUUGUUUCA